CCUACGGGUGGCAGCAGUGAGGAAUAUUGGUCAAUGGCCGGAAGGCUGAACCAGCCAAGUCGCGUGAGGGAAUAAGGCCCUAUGGGUCGUAAACCUCUUUUGUCAGGGCGCAAAGGCGUCCACGUGUGGACGAGAGGAGAGUACCUGAAGAAAAAGCAUCGGCUAACUCAGUGCCACCAGCCGCGGUAAUACGGAGGAUGCGAGCGUUAAUCGGAAUUACUGGGCGUAAAGCGCUCGUAGGCGGUAUGUCAAGUCAAGGGGGAAAUCCCCGCGCUCAACGUGGGAACUGCCUUUGAAACUGGCAAACUGGAGUGUGUGAGAGGAUAGUGGAAUUCCAGGUGUAGGAGUGAAAUCCGUAGAUAUCUGGAGGAACAUCAGUGGCGAAGGCGGCUUACUGGACUGUAACUGACGUUGAGGCUCGAAAGCGUGGGGAGCAAACAGGAUUAGAUACCCUUGUAGUC
rnacentral:rRNA from 1 species